AGAGGUAGUAGGCUUUUGUCGGUUUCAACAACUCAUCAACUUGCUCAAAUUUUAAGAUGUGGCUUGGUGAUUAAGUUCUGGCUGACGAAAUAUAAGCAGAAUUUUUGUGCGAUACCUUUUGGAUGGAAAUUACUAAGCUUGGAGAUAGAAUCAAUGUGAGAAGGACUACCAGAAAGGAAAAUGCAAUGCUUACAAGCAGCUGAGAGGAGAAAGCAUCCAAUUCUGGGGAUGACAGGGAAGGAGAUGGUUGAGUUAAAUCUUGAAGGAAGAGAAGCUGUUAUCCACGUUUGAAGAGAAACAGCAUGUUCUAAAGCACAGAGGUAUGAAACAAGCAAGGCAUAUUUGAGAAACUGUUAUUUAUGAUGAUUCAAGUAGUGUUGGCUAUAAAGAGCAAGUGUUGUAGUG